rnacentral:lncRNA from 10 species
GGAGAGGCCGCAGGGGGGAGAGGUCACAUGGGGCAGAGGCCACGCGGGGGAGAGGCCACGCAGGGGAGAGGUCACAUGGGGGAGGACACGCAGGGGAGAGGUCACAAGGGGGAGAGGCCGCAGGGGGAGAGGUCACAUGGGGGAGAGGCUACACAGGGGAGAGGCCGCACGCUGGGGAGAUGGUCCCUGCGGGAAGACUCCGAGGCAGUCUCCUGCAGCUCCUUCCGGCGAAUCCGGUUCAGGAAGUAAAACCAGCCCUGUGUAGAGGACUGCAACUGGCGUCUCCAUCUACUGGUACCGAGGCGAGGAGGAAAAAGCAGGGGGGCCCGGAGACGGCCCCUCUAAGUCUGUAACUCCAGAGCUGCUGCUCAGUCCCCAGAACGUCACCUCCGAGCAGAGCCUGUGACAACUGUCAACUGUGAAGCUGUGGCGUGGGUUGCUACUGAAGCUCUGAAGUCAGCGAGGACACAGCAUGUUUGUUCUAGACCGUUUGGCUGCGGGAGGAAGCUGUACAUGCACACACUCGCCUCACCACCCUGCGAGUCCACAGGCCCCUCCCCGGAGUCACCUCCAGGUAAAGGGGGCCCUGCGUCGGGACUUGCUCUCUGGGGCGCUGAGAUGCUCUACAAUGAGCUGUGCUGCAGUGCACGGCCGCCCGACUGUGCACCCGCAACGGGGAACUGAACGCUGCAUGAAGUACAUCUCCAAGUUGUUCUUUAAGAAGGCUUAGGGUCCCUGGAAGACCCUCGCCCACACCCAGCGUGGAGCGUUGUUGCUCACGUGGCCACACCUCUCGGGAUGGCCGUGGGUCUCCGUGAUGGGCAGGCGAGUGGAACCACAGGUGCUUCCCGUCCUGGUCACAAAGUCAGAGUGGCUGGGCCAAGUGUCCUGAGAAGAGUCACCUCCUGGGAUCCCAUCAGCCUGGCCAUAGCAGAACACCCAGACAGGGGCCCAUCCCCGAGGCUCAACUCAACGCAUGCAGCCACUGUAGAAAAGUCUGGAAAGUAGUUCUUCAACCGACUAGACAUGGUGAGCCCAAAACCCAGCCAUGACACUCCUAGGCAUCUGCCCCAGAGGAAUGAAAGCAUCCAUCCCCUGCAAACUCAUCCUUACACAGCAGCGUGACUCAAGACGGCCAAAGGCGGAAACACCCCAAACGUCCAUCAGUGGACAAACGGGCAGAUGCAAUGCACUGUCUGUACCGUGGGAUGUCACUCAGCCAUAUGAAGGAAAGACUCCAGUGUGGAUGAGCCCUGGAACCACGGUGCUGCGUGAUCCCGUAACACAUGGCCAGAACAGACACGGCCCGGAACCUGAGGCCGGGAGGAUGCGUGCAGGUGGCGGGGAGACAGAGGGGCGAUGGCCCAGUUUCUUUUGGGCUGAAAAUGGUCUAAAGUUGACUGUGGUGAUGGCUGUACAACUUUGAAUAUGCUGAAAACUCGAAUUACACACUUCAGUUGGGCGAACUGUACUCCAUGUGAAUUACCUCUCGAUGGUUCUCUCCUGGGCUCAGGCGCUUCUCCCACCUUGGCCUCCUGAGUAGCUGGAACUACCAUUCAUGUGCGGAAAUAAAACAACUCGGUCUCAAAAAAAACUCAACUCAAAACUCAGUCUCAAAAAUAAAAAAAUAAAAAAGUAAAAGAGGCUACCAAUAGGAGAGGAAUUCAGUCAUUCAUGUCAUAAGCACAAUGCGGUUAUUUAAAACAAUUCUGAAUAUGGGGAAACGUGCACCCAGCAGGGCCUGGAAACAGCCAGAGCGUGACAGUGCCGGCGCAGCCAUGAAAAACCCCUCCCUGUGAACACACAUGUGAAAGAAGAUGCAAAGUCACUGUGGCUUCCAGUUUCACAACUGCAAUUCGGCAUCUCUAAUUUGCUUUUUUCCAGAAACUUCUGUUAGCAUGGUUGUUUCCUUAGCUUUUGACCAAAGAAACUUCAAAAACAAGAAAGCGUUAUAAUGCACCCCGUUCCCUUCCAAAGGCCUCCAACUGCAGGGGCUCGUCCCAACAGGCCCUGCUGGGGGUAAAGAGGCCAGGCCCAGGGGAACACUGACCAGGCCCAGGGGACACUGCCCAGACCUGACGCUCGCCACCGGCAGUUUACGUUAGACACGCUUGUCUUUUUUUUUUUUUUUUUGAAACAGAGUUUCCCUCUCGUUGCCCAGGCUGGAGUGCAAUGGCGUGAUCUUAGCUCACCACAACCUCUGCCUCCCAGGUUCAAGCAAUUCUCCUGCCUCAGCCUCCCGAGUAGCUGGGAUUACAGGCAUGUGCCACCACGCCUGGCUAAUUUUGUAUUUUAGUAGAGAUGGGGUUUCUCCAUGUUGGUCAGUCUGGUCUCAAACUCCUGACCUCAGGUGAUCUGGCCACCUCGGCCUCCCAAAGUGCUGGGAUUACAGGUGUGAGCCACUGUGCCUGGCCACGCUUGUCUUUUUAAGUUCCUUUGGGGAAAGAACCCUAACCCCUAGAACAGGGGCCCUGGCCUUCCCUCUCCUUGGCCCCUAACUGUGCCCUAAGCCUGCCCCGGCCGCCCAGCUGAGUGGGACUGAAGGAGGUGUCACCAGGUGCCACCUGCCCGGGGUUGGGGGACACUCGAAUGCAGCAGGGCUUUGGGGAACCGGAUGCAGUCCAGGGUCUGCACAAGGCCAGCCACAGCCUAGAGGUCCUUCCUGGUCCCAGGCCCACUCCAAGCCCUGGCCUCUCGCUGGAUCCC